rnacentral:rRNA from 1 species
UACAGAGGUCUCGAGCGUUGUUCGGAUUCAUUGGGCGUAAAGGGCGCGUAGGCGGCGGGGUAAGUCUGGUGUGAAAUCUCGGAGCUCAACUCCGAAAUUGCACUGGAUACUGCUCUGCUAGAGGGCUGGAGAGGAGAUCGGAAUUCACGGUGUAGCAGUGAAAUGCGUAGAUAUCGUGAGGAAGACCAGUGGCGAAGGCGGAUCUCUGGACAACUCCUGACGCUGAGGCGCGAAGGCUAGGGGAGCAAACGGG